rnacentral:tRNA from 1 species
UUCCUGGAGGACUAGUGGUUAGGCCUUGGCGCUCUCACCACUACGGCCAGGGUUUGAUCCCCGGCCAGGGAA